rnacentral:rRNA from 1 species
AGGUACUUCUUUGUGAUCGAUGACAUAUGGGAUAUACGAACAUGGGAAAUGAUUAAAUGUGCUUUCAUGGACAGUCAUCCAGAAAGUAGAUUAAUCAUAACUACUCGUCUUGUUUAUGUUGGCACAAAAGCUGGUGGUAUCUACAACAUGGAACCACUUUCUAGUGAUAACUCAGAAUUAUUAUUCUAUACAAGGACAUGUGGUGGUGAAGGACUAACUUCAUCUAACCAACAUGUUGAGGUGACUAACAAAAUUUUGAAGAAAUGUGGCGGUGUGCCAUUAGCUAUCAUUACAAUUGCUAGCUUGCUUGUUGGAAAGCAGAGUGAGGAUUGGUCUAAGGUGUAUGACGCCAUUGGUUUUGGGCAUGAGGACAGCGAAGUUGUUCAGAACACAAGAAAGAUAUUGUCUUUUAGUUAUUAUGAUCUACCUCCGUAUCUGAAGACAUGUUUAUUGUAUCUAAGCAUGUUCCCUGAAGAUAGCUUUAUUGAAAAAAACACACUCAUAUGGAGGUGGGUCUCUGAUGGUUUUGUCCCAGAUAGGUCCUUUCAGUUAGGAGAGAGCUAUUUCAGCAAGCUAGUAAAUAGAAGCAUGAUCCGGUGGAUAGAUCGUGAUGAUAUUUUGAAUGGCGAAAGUGGUUGUCGUGUGCAUGACAUGGUGCUUGAUCUCAUCCGCACCAUAUCAAAUGAAGUAAACUUUGUUACAGUACAUGAUAUGGAGCAUCACGUCACAUGUCCAGGAGGAAAGUCAACCAACAAGGUUCGCAGAGUAGCAGUACAUGGAAAAGGUGGGGAACACAACUCUUGCAUUGCAAUGGAGCAUGUAAGGUCAUUUUAUGUUGUCAAGUGCAGUGCCAAUAGGAUGCCCCUACUUUUGAGCUUUAAAGUACUGCGUGUGCUAGUUAUUGAGGACUAUGUUUUUUCAGAAGGUAGUAGUCUUGAGCAUCUCGGUAAGUUGGUGCAGUUGAGGUACCUAGGGCUAGUGAAGACAGCAGUCAAAAUCCCGGAAGGAAUAGGGCAUUAUCUGAAGUUUCUUGAGAUACUGGAUGUAAGGGGAGGUUUGAUCAGUGAGCUGCCCCCAUCUGUUGGUGAGCUAAUGAAUUUGAGGUGCUUGUGGGCUGAUAACGGUACAGUGAUGAAGGGCGAGAUAGGGAAACUGACAUGCCUUGAAGAGCUGCAACUAUAUUCAGUGGAGAAGUGCCCAAACUUCGUCACAGAGGUGGCGAAGCUGACAAAGUUAACGGUGCUCAAGAUCUUUUUCCAUAAAAUAGAGCAGUCUGCAGGCAAGGCUCUGAUGGAAUCUCUGCGCAACCUGCACAAGAUCCAUAAUUUGAGGAUCUUGGAUGAUGGUCGUGAGGCUAUGUAUUCGGUUGUCCUUAAUGAUAGCUUGGAAGACUUGGCACCCUGUACAAAGCUGUACGAUUUAAUUCUGACUGUCAUAGUUAUACCGAGGGUGCCAUCAUGGAUCAAUCAUUUAAGAGUUCCACUCCUUUCUUGUCUAUGGCUGAAAGUGGAUAUGGUAGAAGUUCGGGAUGUUCAAACCAUCGGCAGGUUGUCGUCACUUCUCGUCCUUGGUCUCUGUAGUAAGGAUGAAAAGAGCAUAUCAUAUACUUUUUGCAGCAAUGAGUUUCACAAGCUGAGACUGUUGUACACGAGGAAGAUAGAGAUUGUUGUUGGAGAAGGAGCAUUGCCGAUGCUUGAAUGCCUGGGAUACAGUGCAAGCGCUGGAAGAAAGGAUGCUGCCAGCUUGGUGCAGUGGAGGAGAAAUAUCUGCCCUUUGCUGAAGUAUGUCACCUGUUACCUUGACUGCACUAACAGCAGCUACAGGGAAGUAAGGCAAGCGAAGCAAGCGCUAAGGCAGGCUUCAGGCACCCAUCCCAAUCUUGAUCUCUACAUACAAAAAAAGAAUUACGAUAAGGAGGCAGGUAUGCUCAUUGAUAAUCUCGAGUGGAUCCUACGUGGUUUGGACAGACCCGAGGAUAUGGGCCGUCCUCCUGCACACCAGGAAGGAAGGAUACGUCGCAUGAAUAGAUCACUCGAGAGAAGAUUACGUGACCCGCGGAGCCUCGGGUCGGGAGGUACGGGGAACAAGAAAUACAAGGCCUUGUUACCAAAUUCAAGAGUUGGCUACAUGAUCAUGCAGGCACCGACCAGGAUG